UAGGGCUAAUAGAAGAAAGGAUAGUAAUAUUAUUAGCAGCGAUCGAGUAAUGAAGAGCAAAACUCAAUAUAAAAUCACCAACAAAUAGAAAUAAAAAAAAAUCGAGAGAGAGAUAAAAAAAAGAAGAAAAAAAAAAGGAAGAGAGAGAGGCAAAGGCGAAGCUUGGAAGAUGGAAACCCAGUGAGUGAGGUUCGAGAUUUGUGAGCAAUUCGUGAACUUUGCGAAGGUGCAACUAAGAUUGGAUGAAGACACGGCCAAUGAACUGAGAGUAUGUAUCCAAGGCUAUUCCUCGUGGAACAGAGGGAUAUUGGGGUGCUGGGUCAUAUUGGGAGAUGGGUCAACUAUGUAUGAUGAUCUGGUUGGUUCAGAUUGUUGGGGGGUUGUUGUGGGGUUUAAUAUGGGAAGGUUUUAGAUGUAUUGCUGCAGGCUUGCAGGUCUUAGUUAUUACUGAGAUAGUGGUUUUGUGAUGACUCCUAUCUUGGCAUGAUAACUAAAGUCCUUGCUCUAAUAUAUGAGUUAUUUUUUGCCGUUUCAAAAAAAAAAGGUUUGGUGUUUCUCGGAGGAUUCAGGUAACUGGUAGAAGAUAUGACGGAACCCUCAGGGCAGCAUUAUAAAGAUGAUAUUACAAGAGCCUAGGUUUGGGAAAAAAUCUGUAAAUAGCCAUUUCCACCUAAUCUGUCAUUUUUUGUUGAGUGUCGAUGCCUCAGUUGGUGGUUAUAAACUUUCCGUUGGAAGGAUACAGAUUCGGCCAUCUGCAAAUUUAUCAAAAUACAGACAAUGAUUCCAAAAGGCUAAAGUUGAAGCGGGUGCUGGGUACUAUGUUUUUCCCAAAGACUGAAAUGUGCUAUUUUGCUCUGUAGUUGGUUCUUGUUGACUUGUUAUGAAUAUUUAUAUUGAUUAUCUGAAUAAGGUGAUGUGAUUCUCUGUAUAAAGUGGAACAAGCACACUGUUCAGACUGCAGAUUCAGCUUAUUCUAAGUCCAUUCUAUAGGUUAAGUGUGUACUUAGUUACUUAGACAAUGCAUGUUGCUGUCAGAUUCGGGAAAAUUAAGAAUGUACAGGCUGAAGAGGGGUAAGGUAGAAUACAUAAUGCUUUUGACU